GCGCCGGUAGCUCAGCCUGGACAGAGCAGCGGUCUACUAAACCGCGUGUCGGUGGUUCGAAUCCACCCCGGCGCA
rnacentral:tRNA from 1 species